rnacentral:rRNA from 1 species
AACGAACGCUGGCGGCAUGCCUACACAUUCAAGUCGAACGAGACCUUCGGUUCUAGUGGCGCACGGGUGCGUAACGCGUGGGAACCUGCCCUUAGGUUCGGAAUAACUCCCCGUAAGGGUUGCUAAUACCGGAUAAUGUCUUCGGACCAAAGAUUUAUCGCCUUUGGAUGGGCCCGCGUUGGAUUAGCUAGUUGGUAGAGUAAAAGCCUACCAAGGCGACGAUCCAUAGCUGGUCUGAGAGGAUGAUCAGCCACACUGGGACUGAGACACGGCCCAGACUCCUACGGGGGGCAGCAGUGGGGAAUAUUGGAGGAUGAGCGAGAGCCUGGUACAGCAAUGCCGCGUGAGUGAUGAAGGCCUUAGGGUUGUAAAGCUCUUUUACACGGGGUGAUAAUGACAGUACCGGGAGAAUAAGCUCCGGCUAACUCCGUG